rnacentral:rRNA from 1 species
GACGAACCUUGCGAACGUUGUUCGGAAUCACUGGGCUUAAAGGGCGCGUAGGCGGUUGGUCAAGUCAGGGGUGAAAUCUUUCGGCUCAACCGGAAAACUGCCUUUGAUACUGACUGGCUGGAGGGAGAUAGGGGUUGCGGGAACUACCAGUGGAGCGGUGAAAUGCGUUGAUAUUGGUGGGAACGCCGGUGGCGAAAGCGCGCAACUGGAUCUCUUCUGACGCUGAGGCGCGAAAGCUAGGGGAGCAAACGGG